CUUUGAGUAGGAUACAAGGUACAAAUAAAGAUGGAUGGCAUUUCACAAAUAAUGAGAGAUACACGGUUAAAUCGGGCUACUAGGUGGAACAGGCUUAUCCAGAUAGGAAAAAACCAUUGACUCUGUUUGGCCCACAGUAGAUGUUUUGAAAGCGCUCUAUUGGACUAUACGAUGUCCACCAAAGUUAAAACAUUUUUUGUGGCAGAUGGUUUCAGGGUGCAUAGCGGUUUAAAAAAUAUGAAUGCAAGGAAUAAAAGGGGAUGUAUGUUGUGCGAGAUGUAGAGAUCCCGAGAAAUCAAUAAACCAUGUAUUUUUUAGUGUCCUCCAGCGAUUCAGGUGUGGGCGCUCUCCAAAAUACCAUCAAAUCCGGCUAUCUUUCCAACAAGCUCGCUUUUCACAAAUAUGGAUCACCUAUUUUCGAGAGUUAUCCCGAAAAUGGAUGAUCACUAAUUUGCAUGGAUUUCAUGGUAUAUUUGGAAAGGCAGGAAUAAUAAAGUCUUUAGUAAUAUUGAUAUAGACCCCAUGGAUACUCUUAAUUUGGCAGAGGUCGAAUCCACUCUAUGGGCGGAGGCACAAACUCUGCAUACAAAGGUGGUACCAAACAUAGAAGUGGGGAAUUUACCAUCAAUUCCAGGACGAUGGUGUUUUGUGGGUGCAUCCUGGAAAGAAUGUGACCCAAUGGCCGGACAAGGUUGGUAUAGCAUUUUAGAAGGUUUUGACGGUUUGAUGGGUGCAAGGAAUGUUAGGGCUCCUCUGUAUCCCCUUCACGCGGAGAUGAAAGCACUACUUUGGACUAUGGAAUGUAUGCAAAACUUACGUCAAUUUCAGGUCACAUUUGCAACGGAUUGUUCCCAAUUGGUGAAGAUAGUUUCAGAACCAGAGGAAUGACCAGCUUUUGAAGCUUACUUGGAAGAUCUCAAGAUUUUGAAUGAUAGUUUUCACAGCUCACAGAUCAUUCAUAUCUCGCGGACGCAAAAUAAAAAGGCGGAUAGCCUAGCACGGAGUGCCAAGAGACAGCCGUCUUUCGUUGUCCAUAUGAAUGCGGAACAACCUUUUUGGUUUUCAGAGGCUACAUGAAUCUCUUUGUUGUUGUCAAAAAAAAAAUUUGUAAGCUUACUUUCUUACUGGAUAUUGGUUCAAUUGGUAACAGAUUGAACCCAAUGACCCCCCUUCCCCUAGUUAUCAUGCACACAUAAUUGUCUUCUUUUCUUUUGAUAUAAAAUCAUUAUUUGUUUUAGUUGAGCUUAAUGUAUGAAAUGAAUUUGAACUAUGAUCCAGAUAAAAAAAAUUCCUAGGUCCGCGACUGAUUGAAGCAUGCUUUUCAUAGUCCAUCUUAAUCUGUCAUUUAAAAAAAAAAAAAUUCAUUGUCUUAUUAUAUAUGUAACGUCUGUAAAACAUAUUGUGUAGAAAAGUGGCAUGCAAAAAAAAAAACUCGCACGAUAAGCAUGUUCCGAAAAAUAGACGCAUGAAAAUAAUCUAACCUAUACUAAAAGGAGGAUAUAUUGAUCAGAGAGGAUGUCCACGUCAGACAAUAAAAUCUACCAAUCAAAACAUAGAUAAUUGACACAUCAGAUGACACAUCCUCUCUUCUUCCAUCGACAACUCCUUUUCCUAAAAAUUAUUGUUUCCGCUUCGUCUUUUCUUCUGAACCCCUCUUCGAUCCCGCUUCAGCUUCUGUCAUCUCCUCAACCUCAGUUCCUGACGGUAACUCCGAUCUCAACCACGAGGUGUUCCCCGGAAUGGAAACUGUCUCAUCAAUCUCCCUGAAAGCUCACCAAUCUUCGUCCGUCGAACCUAGCUCGAAGCUCUUCCCCUUCUUUUCCUUACCACGGUGAUUGAAACUUCGAUGUUGAUUCCAAUCUAAAGCCUAAGAUAUGUAAGACGCAAUCAUUACCGUCCUCUUCAUCUUCUUCGUAAAAAGGCAUCUCCGACGCCAUGGUUUUCACAGAUUCUUUUAUUUUCCACUCGAUAUACAGAGACGAACCUUGAAGAACAAUGGCGACUUCCAAGAUACCACUUUCCGAAUAGAAGCCCGUGCGUUGCAGUCGAACCGUUGUCUCACGCUUCUCUGUUUUGGGAAGAUAUGGAAAUGAAGAAAGAUGGUGAACUUAAGGACAUGACAUGCCGCUUUUGGAUGAUAACCAAGCUUCUCCAUCACCUAAACACAUUCAGACAACUUCUUAGGGAGAGAGCUAUGUAUGGGCUUAGUGGGUUUGAUGUGAUCAGAAGCAAAAACCAUUUCAAGUUUUCAGUUUCAGUUGUUGCGAUCAGACUCUACGAGUUUAAAGUCCUUGCUGUUGCUAAUCCCAUCCCAUUCAAGUUCAGUAAGCUCGAGCAAGUGAUAGCGUUGACAAAUACAAAUGUCCAGUUGCAGCCUUAAUGAACUCUUUUACAAUAGACUGGAAACUGGUGUUUGUCAGCCUAGAGUGAUGAUAGCGACCAGCAACAACCCAAAGUUUGUAGGAGCAAGCAAUGGGAGUUGACAUACCUUUCUUGACGAGAAGUUGUUCUGCCUAGGUUCUUCCAUGGGAGGUAUAUUGAUAAGGAAAGUGGAAGUGAUGUUGAAGUGAUGUUGAUCCAAGGGGAGUGUACAUUCAAGAAGGCACUCAAGAUAAAUAAAAUCUAUAGGCUGGAAACUACCACUGCACAUGUUCAACCUGCUUUAGGCCGCAACACUUUUAAGGAGACACUGGUUCUAGCAGCGGAGUGUACUGUACACUCAAGAAGGCACUCAAGAAAAUCAAAUCUCUGACAAGAGCUAGAUCGCUGCUUCUGGAAUGCAUAAUCCACAAAGGGGAUGAGUUCUCUUUCACCAGUGGUUUAAUCGGCUCUUUCAACUCUCUUGCCAGCUUAACUCUCCUAUUUUUCGAGCAAUCCUCUAGCGUCGAAUUUGUUAUUCUGUAGUCUUACAAUUUAGCUAUCAAAAUAGUAUGAUCAUUAUACUAAUCUUGAUUACAACACUAAACAAAGAAAAGAUAAAAACUAUUUUUCUAA